AGGAUAAACGCUGGCGGCGUGCCUAACACAUGCAAGUCGAACGUCUCUUCUUUCGGGAAGAGGAGUGGCGGACGGGUGAGGAACACGUGGGAACCUGCCCUUUAGUGAGGAAUACCGGCGAGAAAUCGCCGACAAGACCGCAUAGCCCUCUUUGAUGAGAGUCAAAGAAGGAAAGCUUCGCAAGAGGCGCUAGAGGAGGGGCCUGCGUCCGAUUAGCUAGUUGGUGGGGUAAGAGCCUACCAAGGCGUCGAUCGGUAGCUGGUCUGAGAGGACGAUCAGCCACACUGGGAUUGAGAACGGCCCAGACUCCUACGGGGGGCAGCAGUGAGGAAUUUUCCGCAAUGGACGCAAGUCUGACGGAGCAACGCCGCGUGCAGGAUGACGGCCUUCGGGUUGUAAACUGCUUUUCUGUGAGACGAGAACGGACGGUAUCACAGGAAUCAGCCCCGGCUAACUACGUGCCAGCAGCCGC
rnacentral:rRNA from 1 species